UACGUAGGGGCUAGCGUUAUCCGGAAUUAUUGGGCGUAAAGGGUGCGUAGGCGGCUAUUUAAGUUUAAGGUGUAAGUGCAAGGCUCAACCUUGUGAGGCUUUAAAAACUGGAUAGCUUGAGGUAGACAGAGGCAAGUGGAAUUCCAUGUGUAGCGGUAAAAUGCGUAAAUAUAUGGAGGAACACCAGUGGCGAAGGCGGCUUGCUGGGUCUAAACUGACGCUGAGGCACGAAAGCGUGGGGAGCAAACAGGAUUAGAUACCCGCGUAGUCCCUGAG
rnacentral:rRNA from 1 species